rnacentral:rRNA from 1 species
UUAAUGAAUUUCAAGUCGGCYGUCUGUGCUGGUGGCAACACAUGUGCACGUCGGCCGCAAAUCCACACACYUGUGCACUUUUGACUUUGGGAUCCGCUGGUCUUUUGACUCGCAGCAGGUUGGCUCUGUGCUGGCCUGGGUCUCAGAGUACUUUUAUAUACUCUUGAAUGURAUGGAAUGUCYCUGUGCUUAAYGCRCAAAUAUACAACUUUCAACAACGGAUCUCUUGGCUCUCGCAUCGAUGAAGAACGCAGCGAAAUGCGAUAAGUAAUGUGAAUUGCAGAAUUCAGUGAAUCAUCGAAUCUUUGAACGCACCUUGCACCCUUUGGUAUUCCGAGGGGUACACCCGUUUGAGUGUCAUUGUAAUCUCACUUYGACGACUUUGUUGUUGUCUGGAGGUGGACUUGGACCCUGCUGUGUCACAACGGCUGGUCUSAAAUGCAUGAGUGCACCCUGCUGUAGCAGCGUCUUCAGUGUGAUAAGUAUCUUCACUGAUUCAAGCUNCCUUGUGGGACACGCUUGUCUGGUGGGCUCUGUGCUUCUAMCCGUCUGCAUGGACAACUCUUGACAAUUUGACCUCAAAUCGGGUGGGACUACCCGCUGAACUUAAGCAUAUCAAUAAGCGGAGGAAAAGAAACUAACAAGGAUUCCCCUAGUAACGGCGAGUGAAGAGGGAAAAGCUCAAAUUUUGAAUCUGGUACCUUUGGUCCCCGAGUUGUAAUCUAGAGAAGUGUUUUCUGCCUUGGACCACGCAUAAAUUCCCUGGAAUGGGGUGUCAUAGAGGGUGAGAAUCCCGUUUGUGGUGUGGACUACCUUGGCUUUGUGAUACACUCUCAACGAGUCGAGUUGUUUGGGAAUGCAGCUCAAAAUGGGUGGUAAAUUCCAUCUAAAGCUAAAUAUUGGCGAGAGACCGAUAGCGAACAAGUACCGUGAGGGAAAGAUGAAAAGCACUUUGGAAAGAGAGUGAAACAGUACGUGAAAUUGUUGAAAGGGAAGCGCUUGAGGUCAGUCACAUCUGUCAGGACUCAGCCUG